GUGAGGAAUAUUGGUCAAUGGGCGGGAGCCUGAACCAGCCAAGUCGCGUGAAGGAAGAAGGAUCUAUGGUUCGUAAACUUCUUUUGCAGGGGAAUAAAGUGCAGGACGUGUCCUGUUUUGUAUGUACCCUGAGAAUAAGGAUCAGCUAACUCCGUGCCAGCAGCCGCGGUAAUACGGAGGAUCCGAGCGUUAUCCGGAUUUAUUGGGUUUAAAGGGUGCGUAGGUGGUUUGAUAAGUCAGCGGUGAAAGUUUGCAGCUUAACUGUAAAAAUGCCGUUGAAACUGUCGGACUUGAGUGUAAAUGAGGUAGGCGGAAUGCGUGGUGUAGCGGUGAAAUGCAUAGAUAUCACGCAGAACUCCGAUUGCGAAGGCAGCUUACUAAGCUACAACUGACACUGAAGCACGAAAGCGUGGGGAUCAAACAGGAUUAGAUACCCUGGUAGUCC
rnacentral:rRNA from 1 species